CCUACGGGUGGCAGCAGUGAGGAAUAUUGCCCAAUGGAGGAAACUCUGAGGCAGCAACGCCGCGUGAACGAUGACGGCCUUCGGGUUGUAAAGUUCUUUUCUCAGGGAAGAUAGUGACGGUACCUGAGGAAUAAGUCCCGGCUAACUACGUGCCAGCAGCCGCGGUAAAACGUAGGGGACAAGCGUUAUCCGGAUUUACUGGGCGUAAAGCGCCCGUAGGCGGCUUUCUAAGUUGGACGUGAAAGCUCCCGGCUUAACUGGGAGAGGCCGUUCAAAACUGGAGGGCUAGAGUGAGGAAGAGGAGAGCAGAAUUCCCGGUGUAGUGGUGGAAUGCGUAGAGAUCGGGAGGAAUACCAGUGGCGAAAGCGGCUCUCUGGUCCUAAACUGACGCUGAGGGGCGAAAGCGUGGGGAGCGAACGGGAUUAGAUACCCCGGUAGUC
rnacentral:rRNA from 1 species